rnacentral:rRNA from 1 species
GACGAACGCUGGCGGCGUGCCUAAUACAUGCAAGUCGAGCGAAGUUUUUCUGGUGCUUGCACUAGAAAAACUUAGCGGCGAACGGGUGAGUAACACGUAAAGAACCUGCCUCAUAGACUGGGACAACUAUUGGAAACGAUAGCUAAUACCGGAUAACAGCAUUAACUGCAUGGUUGAUGUUUAAAAGUUGGUUAUGCUAACACUAUGAGAUGGCUUUGCGGUGCAUUAGCUAGUUGGUGGGGUAAAGGCCCACCAAGGCGACGAUGCAUAGCCGACCUGAGAGGGUGAUCGGCCACACUGGGACUGAGACACGGCCCAGACUCCUACGGGAGGCAGCAGUAGGGAAUCUUCCGCAAUGGGCGAAAGCCUGACGGAGCAACGCCGCGUGAGUGAAGAAGGAUUUCGGUUCGUAAAGCUCUGUUGUUAGGGAAGAAUGGAUAUGUAGUAACUAUACAUA